rnacentral:lncRNA from 10 species
AGACAUCAGCCCUGCCCAGGAGUGCUUGGUGAUGAGCACUGGAGAAGGGCAAAUGACUUCUCUUGAAAAGACUGAGAUCCACACAGCAGAGAAGGUGAAUGAACAAGCAGCUCACCUGGCCACACCACCGUAAUCCAAACCUUCUUCCCCACGGAAUUUCACCAUCAGCCGUUUUUUCAAGUCUUUCGGUCGCAUCUUCAUUAUCUGGCGGGUCUGGGCAGUGGCCCUGAACUCUCUACCUCAAAGAUUUCUUCUCUGGACACUUCGAUGCGGCAAUGACCAGCUUGGGGCUGCUGAAGCGACAGUUCGUGUCUGAGGACUUUCAGCUUCUGGACUAGAUCUCUUUCGUAUCUCUGGGCAGGAAGCUCCUCGUCCUCCAGAGAGCCCUCACUGGGCAGUGGCAGCGGCUGGCUGGGCUCCUUGAGUUGGCACUGGUGACUUGAGAAGAAGAGAUGCAGAAAGUCACUCCGAAGCCCCGGCCAGGGGAGCUGCAAGCACCCACGUACGCGACAGGGUCAGAGGAGAGAGCUAGCUGCACACAACUUCAGGGAGAAUUUGUUUCCCUGAUGACGUAACCAGGUACCUAGCUAGCUGUGUCAAACUUGCUGAUGGCCACAUUAGCCUAAAUGUAUGUCUACAGUACCAUAAAGGAGGUACCCCAGGCCGGGCGUGGUGGCUCAAGCCUGUAAUCCCAGCACUUUGGGAGGCUGAGGUGGGUGGAUCACCUGAGGUCAGGAGUUCGAGACCAGCCUGGACAACAUGGUGAAACCCGGUCUCUACUAAAAAUACAAAAAAU